CCUACGGGAGGCAGCAGUGGGGAAUUUUCCGCAAUGGGCGAAAGCCUGACGGAGCAACGCCGCGUGGGUGAUGAAGUCUUUCGGGACGUAAAACCCUUUCAGCAGGGACGAACAAAAUGACGGUACCUGCAGAAGAAGCAUCGGCUAACUACGUGCCAGCAGCCGCGGUAAUACGUAGGAUGCGAGCGUUGUCCGGAUUUAUUGGGCGUAAAGCGAACGUAGGCGGUUUCUUAAGUUUGGUCUUAAAGACCGGGGCUCAACCCCGGGAGUGGACUGAAUACUGGGAGACUAGAGGAUGUUAGAGGAAAGUGGAAUUCCAAGUGUAGCGGUGAAAUGCGUAGAUAUUUGGAGGAACACCAGUGGCGAAAGCGGCUUUCUGGGACAUUUCUGACGCUGAGGUUCGAAAGCUCGGGGAGCAAACAGGAUUAGAUACCCUGGUAGUCCGAGCCGUAAACGAUGGACACUAGGUGUCGGGGGUAUCGACCCCCCGGUGCCGUAGCUAACGCGUUAAGUGUCCCGCCUGGGGAGGUACGGUCGCGACGACUACGAACCGAAACGGAAGUAGUACGGCGUGAGACGUGCCGACGGACGACGACGAGGGAGGUAAGG
rnacentral:rRNA from 1 species